UUGUUCACAAUGGGCGCAAGCCUGAUGACGCAACGCCGCGUGGGGGAUGAAGGUCUUCGGAUUGUAAACUCCUGUCGAACGGGAAGAAAGACCCGGGAGCUAAUCAUCCCGGGAGUGACGGUACCGUUAAAGGAAGCCACGGCUAACUCUGUGCCAGCAGCCGCGGUAAUACAGAGGCCUCGAGCGUUAAUCGGAGUCACUGGGCUUAAAGGGUGCGUAGGCCGCCCCGCAAGUGCUUUGUGAAAUCCCACGGCUCAACCGUGGAAUCGCUUGGCAGACUGCGGGGCUUGAGGUCGGUAGGGGCAGCCGGAACUCUAGGUGGAGCGGUGAAAUGCGUAGAUAUCUAGAGGAACGCCAAAGGUGAAGACAGGCUGCUGGGCCGAUUCUGACGCUGAGGCACGAAAGCGUGGGUAGCGAA
rnacentral:rRNA from 1 species